AGGAGGGGCAAGAACUCGAAACCCGUGGUGCGGGAAAAGAGCGGUGAAGAUGCUCCCGCAUGGAGGAUGUUUGCUCCGGAUUUCGAGGGUACGGUUGAGACCGUAGUUUGUGCGGAUGGUGAACAGGAUCACAACACUAUCAUCCGUAGUAACUUCCGGGUGCCUACUGCGGCUGCACUGGCAGUUGAGUUGCCAGUAGGCAAAGGUGAUCUUGGGGCCUUGGGGGACCCUGAAGCGAAAGGUGUGCCAAAGAGGCAAACUGUGAAG